UACGUAGGGUGCAAGCGUUGUCCGGAAUUACUGGGCGUAAAGUGUGCGCAGGCGGCAGAGCAAGUCGAGUGUGAAAGCCCCGGGCUUAACUUGGGAAUUGCGCUCGAAACUACUUUGCUGGAGUGCGGCAGAGGGGGGUGGAAUUCCGCGUGUAGCAGUGAAAUGCGUAGAGAUGCGGAGGAACACCGAUGGCGAAGGCAGCCCCCUGGGUCGACACUGACGCUCAGGCACGAAAGCGUGGGGAGCAAACAGG
rnacentral:rRNA from 1 species